rnacentral:snRNA from 1 species
AUACCUUUCUCGGCCUUUUGGCUAAGAUCAAGUGUAGUAUCUGUUCUUAUCAAUUUAAUAUCUGAUAUGUGUGCCAUGUGCUCACAACGAUAUUAAAUUUAUUUUUUGUGGGGGAGGGUCCAUCACACUAGCUUGCUAGUGGGGCUCUCACGUGUCGCACCCCAA